UUUCAAAUCGAUCAAUUUUAAAAGCAGUCGGGUAAAAAGUACGUAAAAUCUCUUUUACAUAUUUCCACCAUUAUUUCACUGUUGCGGGCGAAAUUGCGCAAAAAUUGUUCACUUGAAUUAUAACAGGCUGAACUCUGCAAAAAUAUAGCUUCUGGAUUUUCUUGUGAAGGCUGACAGACAAACAGUAAAAAAGUGACCUCAGCUAGUUUGGUGCUACUUUCGUAAUAUGUUCGAAACCCACUCUUCAAAUUCUUUACUGCUCAAGCAUGCCUUAAGUUUUAUUUCAGUUUAAAAAAACCUUUCGAGUCUAAAGCAUCAUAUCAAAACACUUAUUUUCUAAAAGUGGUUUGGGUUAGUUUAUUUUAUUUUUUUUUUUAUAUUUUGCGUUUAAUUUGAAAUUGUUUAAAAUGGAUUUGGAUUGGUUAAUUACCUUCGUGUUGGGUUGCGUUCUUGGCUUUGUCGUUGGAUUACAUUCUUAGGGGUAAUACGAAGGAGAAGUCAAACAAUAUUGAGGAGGACAACGUUACGGCACGCUACAUUUGUUGUGCAUUUUCUUUUCCAAAAAGUGAUGAAACUGUAUUUUAACAUACACUAGCCGAAUAGUCCAGGAAGUACAGUCAUGAGUCACGUUAUAUCAUUCGCACUCGGCAUGAUAACAGGUUUGAUGUUGUGUAAGAACCGACGUUGCGGUCCUGACAAUUGAUGGCAGCCCAAUCAAAAUUAUACAUGAAAAAUUUGAUUAAAAAUAAUAUGCGAAAUUUUCGUGCGGAGCACAUGUACAAAUUACUAUAAAAUUAAAUUAUGACUUAAGAAACUUAAA